rnacentral:rRNA from 1 species
UACGUAUGGUGCGAGCGUUGUCCGGAAUUAUUGGGCGUAAAGGGCUCGUAGGCGGUCUGUCACGUCGGGAGUGAAAACACGGGGCUUAACCCCGUGCCUGCUUCCGAUACGGGCAGACUAGAGGUAUGCAGGGGAGAACGGAAUUCCUGGUGUAGCGGUGAAAUGCGCAGAUAUCAGGAGGAACACCGGUGGCGAAGGCGGUUCUCUGGGCAUUACCUGACGCUGAGGAGCGAAAGUGUGGGGAGCGAACAGG